UUAUGGCUACAUUGUUCUGUUCUGUUCAAAAGUAAUAAAAGAAAGCUUGUUCAAAAAGUUUUGCGAUGUGCACGACGGUUCCAUCCGAAUAGUCUUUUCCCCUUACAGCAAGAUAUGUUCUUGAGAAUUCUGUGCCACGCGCCACCUAGUGUUCAGUAGCAGAAUGUAGUUGUUUCCAAUGUGAAUCAAAUUGAGUUAAUAGUCAAAAUCGUUUUUGAAAGAUACUCUUAUCUCUAUUUUGGUCUUUGAAAAAUAUUCUGAUCUCCAUUUUGGUUUUCGAAAGAUAAAAUUAAUCGAAAUCAUCCCAAAAAAUACACGACAUGGUCACCUUCGUCCUUCCGUCAUCUCCAUCGCUGAGUUGGCAAACGGUCGCUUGCGUGUGCCGUUAACUGUCAGCGUAGCACACAAGCAAAAUGUCGUUUUGAUACAAUGCCCAACCCAGAAAUGGUUUGUUUGGAUUGUUUUGGAGAGGAGUGCUUCCUGCCGAGCUUGACAACUCUUUGGAUCAAUAAUUGCCAGAAACUAGAGAGGUGGAUAACAUCGAAGGGCCUUUUCAAAUCUGGAGACGCUAGAGGCUAUACUGCAAGGGCGUUCACCAUCUCACCUCCCUCCAACAAUUAACGAUUGAAGAGUGUUCAAAGCUGGAGAAUAUCGUCCAAAGCUGGAAGAGAUGAACGACCCAUGGAUUCAAUUCGAGAUAGACUGGCAUGAUCUAAUUCAGGGAUUCUGAUUUUCCACCAUUUCUGCAACAUGCAAAGAUUCUGUCUGUUAGCAUGUUAUGGAGGAGGUUCUUGAAGAGAUGAAAGACCCACAAAUUCAAUCCAAAAGUUAUGGCAAAUGUAAUUAGGAAGGGAAGAAUCAAGAGUCAAUAUUAAUACAUGGCUGAGCCAAGUUGAGAAUUGGGGUGCACUGAUAUCAAAGAGUCUAAAAUUGCAAGAAAAUUUGUAGAUAUGGCAAUGCAAGCAUUCAAUGAAAACCAGUGCUUGUUUUAAAAGGCCUCCGGAUGUUUUUCAUUACUCAGACCCGGAAAUUCAAUAUAUAUUUCUUUUUUAGAAUUGCUAAAUCUAUGACUGGGACUGCCCUUCAUUCUGACUGGCUUGGCUGCAUUCCAUUAAAAGCCUCUUCCAUAGAGCACAGCCAACAAAAUUUUCUUUUGUUGAAGGAGGUUUGCUGCCUAACUUGAUGGAGCUUUGUAUUAGAGAAUGUGAGAAACUGGGACCUCUCCUAAACCUACUGCAACUGCACUUCUGGCUGUUUCUGUUAAGACCAUCAAAAGAACAAGUUUUGCAACUGCUAAGAGGCUGACCAACUUCAUGACUUUUGUACUUACUCCAGGCUUCGAACACCCAAGGAAGAAUGAUAAAAAUGAUUGAUUAGUUAGAAAUGUGUUGUGGUUGAAUCUUUUUGUAUGGAACAACAUUCUCUUUUUUGUAUGGUAUUUAUCUUUUAGGACAAUGUGUUGUGGUGUCAUCAAAACCUCAUAACUUUGCUAUGGUGUUUAUCUAUUAAGGGAAUGUGACAAUUAGCCUUCAAUGGCAAGUUAUUACCAAGGUUACUGAGUUUCACUAC